GCCUUCCAUAAGCCAGGAGCUUUGCUAGGAAUAAUUACUCUCAAAUACCAUCACCAAUGAUCACAAAAUCAAAUGCUCAUGGGCCAGACAGGAAGAAAAGUAAUGCUUAUAUGUCUCUCCACGACCGAGGCUGCCACUGCUAAUGCAGUUGAGUGAACUUUUAUUCUGGAGAGCCUUAUCGUCCUGAGCCAGUUUCCUCUCCUCCCUGACACAUUCAGUGACGCUGCACUCCAGUGUUUGUUAGAGCACAGAUGUUUCCGUGGUGAUGAUCAGUGACGUCACCAGCACCGGAAUGUGUAUCAUCAAAUUUAUCCAGACAGAGCUGCAAAGAAGAGUGGGAAUUCCAUUCCCAUUUGAACUUCAUGAAGAUUGACUCAGCUUUCUCAACAAUUACUCGAUGCCAGCUUUUAAAAUGUUCCUGCCCUGAUCAAAAGCUUUCUGGUGUUUCCCAUUAGCCUACACGAUCAAGUCCACCUCAUGAGUCUGGCCAAUUCUGCCUUCCAACCUCAUUCCCCAGUUCUCCCCAACUGCAGGCAGGACUAGGCAGCAGAGUGUGCAAUGAAUAAACGUGAGAGAGAAGAAGACCAGAAGUUGCAGGAGAAGGAGGAGGAAGAUGGGGAAGAAGAAAACGAAGAACUCAAUGACAGACUCUCCAU